AAAUUGAAGAGUUUGAUCAUGGCUCAGAUUGAACGCUGGCGGCAGGCCUAACACAUGCAAGUCGAGCGGAAACGAGUUAUCUGAACCUUCGGGGGACGAUAACGGCGUCGAGCGGCGGACGGGUGAGUAAUGCCUAGGAAAUUGCCCUGAUGUGGGGGAUAACCAUUGGAAACGAUGGCUAAUACCGCAUGAUGCCUACGGGCCAAAGAGGGGGACCUUCGGGCCUCUCGCGUCAGGAUAUGCCUAGGUGGGAUUAGCUAGUUGGUGAGGUAAGGGCUCACCAAGGCGACGAUCCCUAGCUGGUCUGAGAGGAUGAUCAGCCACACUGGAACUGAGACACGGUCCAGACUCCUACGGGAGGCAGCAGUGGGGAAUAUUGCACAAUGGGCGCAAGCCUGAUGCAGCCAUGCCGCGUGUGUGAAGAAGGCCUUCGGGUUGUAAAGCACUUUCAGUCGUGAGGAAGGUGGUGUAGUUAAUAGCUGCAUCAUUUGACGUUAGCGACAGAAGAAGCACCGGCUAACUCCGUGCCAGCAGCCGCGGUAAUACGGAGGGUGCGAGCGUUAAUCGGAAUUACUGGGCGUAAAGCGCAUGCAGGUGGUUUGUUAAGUCAGAU
rnacentral:rRNA from 1 species